rnacentral:rRNA from 1 species
AACGAACGCUGGCGGCAGGCCUAACACAUGCAAGUCGAACGCCCUAGCAAUAGGGAGUGGCGCACGGGUGCGUAACACGUGGGAAUGUACCCCAGGGUAAGGAAUAAUGUCUGGAAACGGACACUAAUACCUUAUAAUGACUUUGGUCCAAAGAUUUAUCGCCCUGGGAUCAGCCCGCGUCUGAUUAGCUAGUUGGUGAGGUAAUGGCUCACCAAGGCAACGAUCAGUAGCUGGUCUGAGAGGAUGAUCAGCCACACUGGAACUGAGACACGGUCCAGACUCCUACGGGAGGCAGCAGUGAGGAAUAUUGCACAAUGGAGGAAACUCUGAUGCAGCCAUGCCGCGUGAGUGAAGAAGGCCUUCGGGUUGUAAAGCUCUUUUAGUCGUGAAGAUAAUGACGGUAGCGACAGAAGAAGCCCCGGCUAAAUUCGUGCCAGCAGCCGCAGUAA